AUUGAACGCUGGCGGCAUGCUUUACACAUGCAAGUCGAACGGUAACAGGCCGCAAGGUGCUGACGAGUGGCGAACGGGUGAGUAAUGCAUCGGAACGUGCCCAGUCGUGGGGGAUAACGCAGCGAAAGCUGCGCUAAUACCGCAUACGAUCUAUGGAUGAAAGCGGGGGACCGUAAGGCCUCGCGCGAUUGGAGCGGCCGAUGUCAGAUUAGGUAGUUGGUGGGGUAAAGGCCUACCAAGCCAACGAUCUGUAGCUGGUCUGAGAGGACGACCAGCCAAACUGGGACUGAGACACGGCCCAGACUCCUACGGGAGGCAGCAGUGGGGAAUUUUGGACAAUGGGCGAAAGCCUGAUCCAGCAAUGCCGCGUGCAGGAAGAAGGCCUUCGGGUUGUAAACUGCUUUUGUACGGAACGAAACGGUCCGGGUUAAUACCCUGGGCUAAUGACGGUACCGUAAGAAUAAGCACCGGCUAACUACGUGCCAGCCGCCGCAGUAAGAC
rnacentral:rRNA from 1 species